UACGAGGGGGGCAAGCGUUGUUCGGAAUUAUUGGGCGUAAAGGGCGCGUAGGCGGCUCUAUAAGUAUGGUGUGAAAUCUCCCGGCUUAACUGGGAGGGUGCGCUAUAGACUGUGGGGCUAGAGGGUGGGAGAGGAAAGUGGAAUUCCUGGUGUAGCGGUGAAAUGCGUAGAUAUCAGGAAGAACACCCGUGGCUAAGGCGGCUCUCUAGUACGGUACUGACGCUGAGACGCGAAAGCGUGGGGAGCGAACAGG
rnacentral:rRNA from 1 species